rnacentral:rRNA from 1 species
UUCCUGGUAAAAUCGGGUAGCUUAACUAUCUGUAUGCUAGGAAUACUGCUAUACUAGAGGGCGGGAGAGGUCUGAGGUACUACAGGGGUAGGGGUGAAAUCUUAUAAUCCUUGUAGGACCACCAGUGGCGAAGGCGUCAGACUGGAACGUGCCUGACGGUGAGGGACGAAAGCCAGGGGAGCGAACCGGAUUAGAUACCCCGGGUAGUCCUGGCCGUAAACGAUGCAUACUAGGUGAUGGCACGGCCAUGAGCCGUGACAGUGCCGUAGGGAAACCGUUAAGUGUGCCGCCUGGGAAGUACGGUCGCAAGGCUAAAACUUAAAGGAAUUGGCGGGGGAGCACCACAAGGGGUGAAGCCUGCGGUCCAAUUGGACUCAGCGCCGGGAAACUUACCAGGGGAGACAGUAGAAUGACGGUCAGGUUGACGACCUUACCUAACGAGCUGAGAGGAGGUGCAUGGCCGUCGCCAGUUCGUGCCGUGAGGUAUCCUGUUAAGUCAGGCAACGAACGAGAUCCGCGCUUUUAUUUGCCAGCAGGAAGUCACGACUUCGUUGGGAACACUAAAGGGACCGCCGUCGAUAAGACGGAGGAAGGAGCGGGCAAAGGCAGGUCAGUAUGCCCCGAAACCCCUGGGCUACACGCGGGCUGCAAUGGUAUGAGCAAUGGGCUGUGACUCCGAAAGGAGAAACCAAUCCCGAAAUCAUAUCUCAGUUGGGAUUGUUGGCUGUAACCCGCUGACAUGAACGUGGAAUCCCUAGUAAUCGUGUGUCAUCAUCGCACGGUGAAUACGUCUCUGCUCCU